CGAACCCGCGACCUUGGCGUUAUUAGCACCACGCUCUAACCAACUGAGCUAACCGGCCACUCGAUGGCGUUUGUCGCCUCUGCGGUAGAUAAGGGCAUAGUAGCCCUACUACGCCACAGUGAAGACAACAGCCGAGACGGGGAACCUCCUCGCCCCCAGGAGCGCCGCAGCCGGGCCCGCGCAAGCGGGAACACACGCUAAACUCUUCAGCCAAACCACAAAGCAGUCUGCGCUCCUCUUAUGGAGAUGCAGCGCCUGGGAGGAUACCAGUUGGUAGGAUAGGAGAAGGAGCAUUUUCUGAUGUCCUGCAGACACUGAGUCUUAGGAAUGGAAAGUACUAUGCAUGUAAACACAUGAAGCAACAUUUUGAAAGGGUUCAUGAGGCAGUAAUCCGGUCUGGCCUGGCACUCUCUUCACCCUAUGGCAGUUUUCUUGGACCUGAUGAGCUGGACCAAAUUUCAAAAAUCCACAUUAUAGGCACUCUUGCUAAAACAACUCUCAAGAAGUUCAAGCAACUUUUUAGGGCAGCUGAUACACAAGCUUUGACCGUGCACAAAAAACUAAGAUUAUUAAGAAAUACAUAA
ensembl:lncRNA